rnacentral:lncRNA from 1 species
CUGAACUGGAAAUACACCAUUUUAUUACAUUGUGUACAUGGUAAAUUUUCAUUCCCCAUCUAAACAGUUAUUUUCAGAAGAAACUGAAAGCAUGGGCAUGAGGCUGCUGCCCCUAGCAGGGCUAUGCUCAUAAUUUUGGAGAAAAGAAAGGGGGGGAAGUCUUCUGAUUCCUAAUCUCAAGGCACUUACAAGAGUACAUUGGGAGACAGAAUCCAUCAUGAAAGAUGGUUACCGCAAGAGAGAAAUGGUGUGGAGCCCCACUCCCAGGUAAUACUUUCAUGUAUUCAUCUGCUCAUUUGUCUGUCUCUUGUCUGUGUUUUUUAUUCUGUUUUGUAUAAUUUAGAUGAUAUUUUUCUAAAAUUAAUAAUGCAUGAUUACAGCAGAACAUUAGAACACUACAGACUUAUCCAUAGAAACAAAAUUACUCAAAACAACCCAAAUUUCUAUCAGUACUGAAGGAGUGAAUAAACUGUGGUUGAUGUAUUCUGUGGGAUAUUAAUAGCUGUCAAAAAAAAGAACAAAUGAAAGUAUUUGUUCAUCUGGAAAGGAUGGUGCACACACAGGAUAUAUGAUAAAGAAUGAAAAUCAAGAUACAAAGACAUUUUCAUAUCAUGAUCUUUUAUGCAAACACAACAGUGACUUGCCCAAAAAAGUUUGAAUUUAAAAGGAUAAGAGUAUGCAUACCAAGCUGUUAACAUUGAUUUACCUGUGUGUUUUGAGAAAAGAAUGAUGAUUUUAAAACAAAAUGAGGAUAUGGAAAGGC